GCGGGCGUGGCGAAAUUGGCAGACGCGCUGGAUUUAGGUUCCAGUGGGGUAACCCAUGGGGGUUCAAGUCCCCCCGCCCGCACCA
rnacentral:tRNA from 1 species